GAAAGAAAUAUACAAAAUAGAAAAACCUUGAAGUUCCUACUCCAUAACUCUCUUGAUUAGUAGGUCACUUGGAGCUGUAGAAAGCCCUGCUGGAUUGUAAGCCUGACAUCAAAUACCUGAGUGUUAUGGAUGGCCUUCUAUUUGCGGAAAAAAAGGAGAAAUGGAGAAAAAUAAGACAAUGAAGGAAAAUGAAGAUCUGGAUGGCAGAGGAGAAGAUAGAAACGCAGAGUGAUUGUCAGAUGUUACUGAAGAACAUAUCUGAAUA
rnacentral:lncRNA from 1 species